rnacentral:rRNA from 2 species
AAAAGAAACUAACAAGGAUUCCCCUAGUAACGGCGAGUGAAGCGGGAUGAGCUCAAAUUUAAAAUCUGGCUGGUUUACUAGUCCGAAUUGUAGUUUAUAGAAGCGUUUUCGGUGGCAGCCUGGGUAUAAAUCCUUUGGAAUAGGGUAUCAUAGAGGGUGAGAAUCCCGUCUUUGACUCAGUGCAUGCUACUAUGUGAUACGUUUUCAAAGAGUCGAGUUGUUUGGGAAUGCAGCUCAAAAUGGGUGGUAAAUUUCAUCUAAAGCUAAAUAUUGGCGAGAGACCGAUAGCGAACAAGUACCGUGAGGGAAAGAUGAAAAGAACUUUGAAAAGAGAGUUAAACAGUGCGUGAAAUUGUUGAAAGGGAAACGUUUGACACCAGUUAUGCGGGUGGAAAAUCAGUCUUUUGCAAUAGGGAGUUGUGGGCGUUCAGACCGCAAGGCUGGCGUUUGCUUCAUCUUUGUUGUAAGUGAUGCACUUUUUCAUUUGCAGGUCAACAUCAGUUUGCUCUGCUGGACAAAACUCCAAGGGAAGGUGGCAGCUUAGGCUGUGUUAUAGCCCUGGAGCGAUACAGUGGGGUGGACUGAGGUUUCGCAGUGUGUGCUCUCGGGCAAGGCUGACUGGGUGCUAUGGGAUUGUUCGGCGUACAAUGCAUGCAUUUUGCGUCGUGUCUUUUUCAUACUCGCUCAACUCGGCUCUUCCACGCUUAGGAUGUUGACUUAAUGGUUUUAAACGA